AUGAGGCCGUACGUGUAUCUUGGGAUCAUCCUCUUUUGUCUUCACACAGCCAAUAGCUUGAGGUGCGCAAAGUGUGUGAGCAAGAAAGGAAACUGCAAUGAGACCGAAGUGGAAGCGUGCAGUUCAUAUCAAGAUGCUUGUUUCUUUGAAGUUAAGGAUUUUAUUGGUGUGAGCGGAACGACUGUGAAACGGGGUUGCACCACUGCAAACUAUUGCCGCCGCUACCCUGGAGGGUAUAAGGGACAUCUGGACCGGACAAUGUAUUGCUGCUCUUCGGACCUCUGCGAACCUGUGGAUUAUCACCACAGCCACACCGGAGCAGAAAACAGCAUGGCGUGCCAGAGCUGUAUUGGAAACGAAGCAGAAUGCGGCCAAAACGCUUGGUCAGAGCCGUGCCAUGGGAAUGCCGAUCGGUGUAUACAGAUUUCCCAGCGCUUCCUCCCAGGUGAAGAACUAGAACCCAUUAUAAAAGGAUGUGGAGACAGUUCCUUUAGGGACACUCUGGUGGCUUACCAGAUCGGGAAAGAUUUCGCCUAUGUUGAGCAAAACGUCUGCGGUCUGAGGAACUGUAACAACAGGAGUUUCCCAGACAUAUCUCCUGGACAACCGAACGGAUUAAAGUGCUACACCUGUCGAGAGACAGGGAAGGGGGAGUGUGACCGUGAGAGGCUGCAGCUUUUGAACUGCACCGGGAUCAUGGAUCGGUGUGUGCACAUCAUAAGCAAAGACCGUGACGUGCCGACAACUAUCCAGAAGGGUUGUGCCACAGAGUCGAUGUGCACCAGCUAUUCCGAUAUCUAUUAUAAGCUGAUGAGGCAGGAUUCGUACCCUACCUGCUGCAAGAAGUCCUUCUGCAACCGAGCAGGAGAUCAUUCUGGUCCAGAGAGGCUGCUGGCAGUGGCGGGUGUUGUCCUGUGGCUGGCGCUGAUGGCUGGGAAAUAGCUGGAGUUUGCUGGAUCAUCCUUCUUUUAAAAAAGCUUGAUGACCCUGGGUGCUUAAAGCUGCCCGGGUGAAAUCGAUUGUUGGCAUUUGGCACAUCUACAAGUCACUGUGACAGUUGCACUACUUAGUGUAGGUAUUGGAUACUGAGAUAGAUAUAUAAUGGGCAACAUUUCACGUGCACAAAGAGAAAGGGGACAAGAUGGAAAAGAAGCUUAGAAAUGUCCUGUGGAAAGUCACGACUUUCUGCAGGGUUCAUUCUGCCCACUAGAGGGCCGCAAAACCUGCAUUAAGGAGAUGCAAGUUUGCAUUUUCAAAUUAUGACUCCAGGAACCUCAUCUUAUGCUUUGGCAGCCAGACUCUCCAACUAAACCCUUUGUUUAGCUUCCAGUGAUCAGUCUCAAAACAAAGCAUGUGAAAUGCAAAUGACAUAGCUAUGAAACUAAUUUGCUGUGACAAACAGAUAUCUUUCACCCCAUGGGAGAGCACCUCUGUACCAAAUGAGAUAAAUGUAUCAUCUAGUCUGGUCCUCUAACAACUUUCAUUGGCUGGUAGGUGUGGAUCAAUAUGUCGUGUGUGAUUCUGCUCCGGUUCUCAUUUUUCUAACAUUAAAUAUGUUUCCUCACAUUUUGGCUGUGAUUCUUUUUUUUUCUUUUUAAAGUAGUGUGCACCAAGAUAUAAGUGCUAUAAAAUUUUUAAAUGCAGGUUUGCUGAUGUCUGUACUUUCAAGGCAUGCUUGAAAUACAUACUUU
rnacentral:lncRNA from 1 species